rnacentral:rRNA from 1 species
AGUCGAACGAAACACCUUAUUUGAUUUUCUUCGGAACUGAAGAUUUGGUGAUUGAGUGGCGGACGGGUGAGUAACGCGUGGGUAACCUGCCCUGUACAGGGGGAUAACAGUCAGAAAUGACUGCUAAUACCGCAUAAGACCACAGCACCGCAUGGUGCAGGGGUAAAAACUCCGGUGGUACAGGAUGGACCCGCGUCUGAUUAGCUGGUUGGUGAGGUAACGGCUCACCAAGGCGACGAUCAGUAGCCGGCUUGAGAGAGUGAACGGCCACAUUGGGACUGAGACACGGCCCAAACUCCUACGGGAGGCAGCAGUGGGGAAUAUUGCACAAUGGGGGAAACCCUGAUGCAGCGACGCCGCGUGAGUGAAGAAGUAUCUCGGUAUGUAAAGCUCUAUCAGCAGGGAAGAUAAUGACGGUACCUGACUAAGAAGCCCCGGCUAACUACGUGCCAGCAGCCGCGGUAAUACGUAGGGGGCAAGCGUUAUCCGGAUUUACUGGGUGUAAAGGGAGCGUAGACGGCGCAGCAAGUCUGAAGUGAAAGCCCGGGGCUUAACCCCGGGACUGCUUUGGAAACUGUAGGGCUAGAGUGCAGGAGAGGUAAGUGGAAUUCCUAGUGUAGCGGUGAAAUGCGUAGAUAUUAGGAGGAACACCAGUGGCGAAGGCGGCUUACUGGACUG